GACAACAUUGCCUGGAGAGCUGAAACAGGUGAUCCAAAUGCUGCAUAAGGUGAGGGCAAAGAGCACCAGCCUCGCCCACUCCAGCUGUAUUUUCUCAUGUGUCUCAUUGACAAAAGCUAGGAGUUUACGAAAUAGAGAAUGGUUUCCACCCAAAAGGAGAUUCACAGUCCUUGCUGCCCUCUAACUCCAUUACAAAUUCAAGACACACACACCACAUUCAGUGGAAGCUUUGUAAAGUGCUAACAAAGGCACACUUGAUUAGGCUUUCUGGAAUGGGUAGCCAUAUCAACUUGUCCCCCUCCCAGAGAAGAGAGGUAACAUCAACCAACAAGGCUUGCUUUCUUGGUGUACACCUGCGGGCUCAUGACCUAUUGGCACCUCCCACAGUGCAGUUUCUCAAAUAAACCUCUCAGUUCUUUGGGUGAGGACUGAACAGACUGAAACUAACUCCCUCUAUAUGCAUGCUACUUUUUGAACUGCAAAAACUUCUAUGGGUUUGGAGGUGCCAUCCAAUGGUAUAGAAAUUGUUUGCCAUGC